AUUCUUUCAAGAGAAAUAAGGCAGAAGGAGAGACUGAGGCAAGUUUUCGAGCAGUAGUGAAAGUUUUUUCAAAAGUUUAGAGCAGGCACAAAAGGAAGUA